UACCUCGUUGAUCGGAAGGAAACCCAUCCGAUCAGGGAGGUACAUCUACCUCUUUGAUCGGAAGGGGUUCCUUCCGAUCAACAAGGUACAUCCUCGUUGACCGGAAGGAAACUCUUCGGUCAACAAGGUAGAUGUACCUCGCUGAUUGGAAGGGUUUCCUUCCGGUCAACGAGGUA
rnacentral:miRNA from 1 species